rnacentral:rRNA from 1 species
GUGGGGAAUAUUGGACAAUGGGCGCAAGCCUGAUCCAGCCAUGCCGCGUGAGUGAUGAAGGCCCUAGGGUUGUAAAGCUCUUUCACCGGAGAAGAUAAUGACGGUAUCCGGAGAAGAAGCCCCGGCUAACUUCGUGCCAGCAGCCCCGGUAAUACGAAGGGGGCUAGCGUUGUUCGGAAUUACUGGGCGUAAAGCGCACGUAGGCGGACAUUUACGUCAGGGGUGAAAUCCCGGGGCUCAACCCCGGAACUGCCUUUGAUACUGGGUGUCGGGAGUAUGGAAGAGGUAAGUGGAAUUCCGAGUGUAGAGGUGAAAUUCGUAGAUAUUCGGAGGAACACCAGUGGCGAAGGCGGCUUACUGGUCCAUUACUGACGCUGAGGUGCGAAAGCGUGGGGAGCAAACAGGAUUAGAUACCCGAGUAGUCC